CCCUUAGAUGUUCUGGGCCGCACACGCGCUACACUGAAGGAGGCAGCGUGUACUCCUGGAUCGAAAGAUUUGGGUAACCCGCGAAUCUCCUUCGUGCUAGGGAUUGAGGUUUGCAAUUAUCCUUCAUGAACGAGGAAUUCCCAGUAAGUGCAAGUCAUAAACUUGCGCUGACUACGUCCCUGCCCUUUGUACACACCGCCCGUCGCUACUACCGAUUGAAUGAUUUAGUGAGGACUUCGGACUGGGACCGAUGCGGCUUUCGGGCUGCGUCGGUAUUCUGGAAAGAUGUCCAAACUGUAUCAUUUAGAGGAAGUAAAAGUCGUAACA
rnacentral:rRNA from 1 species